GACGUCGCGGCGCCGUCAGGCUGUGUUGAUGUUUUGGAGAACGGGAAGAGACCCGAUUUGUUUUUGUUUAACUCGACGUCGAAUAAAGCCCAGCGGCCGCUUCUUCGGCUCGUUUCGGUUCGUUAAGGCUCUUAGCUGACGGACUGCAGCCUAACGGCCGGUCCAGGAGGCGAGCAGGCCGACACUUUUGACUGAAAACGGGAGGACUCGCCGCUCCGACCCCCUCCCUGCUGCCUUCACGCUCACUCCACCAUGACAAUUCUACCGAAGAAGAAGCCCAGCUCCGGGGUGGGCGUCCCGGACCACGCCGAUGACAGCGACCGACGAAGCGGCUCCGACCCGCACCAACACUCGCACUCGCACGCCGGGCGAACCGGCGCCCGACCCAGGGCUUCACCUCCGCCGUGGUCAUACCAGAGCGCUCCGCCCUCCUCUAGGGACGACAGGCGGAGCAUCGAGGCGAGCUCCCGGCCGCAGCAGGCCUCUCCGCCGCCCGUCGGCUCCGUUUCCCCCGUCGGGCCGGGCGAUGGCCGGGACGGCAGCGGGGGGAUGGUUGCCGGCUCCCGCGGUGAGCUCGUCGUGUCCGCCGGCGGCGUCGGUUGCGGUGGAGGAAUGGGGAGCUGCUGCUCCGGGCCUGGGCUCAGCAAGAGGCGGCGGCAGGCUGGCACCUGCUCCGGCGGGGUGGUCGCGGCUCUGGCCGGGGGAGGCCAACCCGGAGUGACCGGACCGGGCAGCGUCGGCUCCAGUCAGGACACAGAGGACGGAGCUGGAAACAACAGCGAGGACGAGUACGAGAACGCGGCGCGGCUGCAGUCGCUGGACCCGGCCACCGUGGAGCAGCAGGAGCACUGGUUUGAAAAAGCUCUGAGGGAGAAGAAGGGAUUUGUCAUCAAGAAGAUGAAGGAGGACGGAGCGUGUCUCUUCAGAGCUGUGGCUGAUCAGGUGUACGGAGAUCAGGACAUGCACGAGGUGGUGCGCAAACACUGCAUGGACUAUCUGAUGAAGAACGCCGACUACUUCUCGAACUACGUGACGGAAGACUUCACCACAUACAUCAACAGGAAGAGGAAAAACAACUGCCACGGCAAUCACAUCGAGAUGCAGGCCAUGGCUGAGAUGUACAACAGACCCGUGGAGGUGUACCAGUACAGCACAGAGCCAAUCAACACGUUCCACGGCAUCCAUCAGAACAACGACGAGCCAAUCAGAGUCAGCUACCACCGUAACAUCCACUACAACUCCGUGGUGAACCCCAACAAGGCCACCAUCGGAGUCGGACUGGGGCUGCCCGCCUUCAAGCCGGGGUAUGCAGACCAGUCCCUGAUGAAGUCGGCCAUCAAGACGUCCGAGGAAUCGUGGAUCGAGCAGCAGAUGCUGGAGGACAAGAAGAGGGCCACCGACUGGGAGGCCACCAACGAGGCCAUCGAGGAGCAGGUGGCCCGGGAGUCGUACCUGCAGUGGCUGCAGGACCAGCAGAAGCAGGCCAGACAGCCCCGCAAGGCCAGCGCCACCUGCAGCUCGGCCACGGCGGCGGCUUCCAGCGGGCUGGAUGACUGGAGCGCGCGAUCGCCACGGCAACACGACCCUGACCCCUCCCACUCCGACCUCACAUCUGCCACGUCAACCAACAACAAGCCCCCCUCCCCCACAGGAGCCGCUCUCAUCCUCAGCAAGCCGCCUUCGCCCUGCGCCCCAGAUUCCCUCUUCCUGGUUACCUCUAAGUCCAGCAGGUUUCCCCUCCUGCUCAUUCUUUCUAUUUGAAAGCGGUCUGGAUCCUGUUUGACCUGCAGCCUGAUGUAAACGCCACAUAAACCUUAAUGAACAGAAGUGACACGGGGAGACAUUCUGGUGUUCCUCGUGUACAGACGGCAGAGGAGGAGCAGUAAAGACGUCCUCCAUAAGGAGGGAUGAUAAACAUAACAGAUUUGGGUGAAGAGGUCCCAGCAAUCAGAGUCGUCAUCACUUGGAAUAUAGAGCCAUCAUGCAGGAGAUGUCACCCACAGCAUUUGGUCUGACGGACUGGGAGGACGACGAGAUCCUGGCGUCGGUGCUGGCCGUCUCCCAGCAGGAGUAUCUGGAC